GGUGCGAUGGUCGAGUGGUCUAAGACGACACGUUUAGGAGUAUAAAUUCCGUGUUCCGCAAGGGCGUGGGUUCAAAUCCCACUCGCAUCA
rfam:Naegleria gruberi genomic scaffold NAEGRscaffold_76, whole genome shotgun sequence.